rnacentral:tRNA from 1 species
UCCCUGGCAGUCCAGUGGUUAAGAUGCUGCACUUCCACUGCAAGGGGAGCAGGUUCGAUCCCUGGUCAGGGAA